rnacentral:lncRNA from 1 species
CGGUUUGGUCGUUCGUUGGAGGAACUUCAUCUUGUUCUGCUCUGCGAUUGCGGCGCUUGUUCGAGCGCUUACAGCGGCGCGUCGGUCCCAGCAAGGGCCUCAGACUUCGGCUUUGGGUGAGAGAAGAUGGCCCGAACCAAGCAGACCGCUAGGAAGUCCACCUGAGGGAAAGCCCCCCAGCAAACAGCUGGCCACCAAGGCGGCCCGGAAAAGCGCGCCCUCUACUGGCGGGGUGAAGAAACCUCAUCGCUACAGGCCCGGGACCGUGGCUCUAAGAGAGAUCUGUUGUUACCAGAAAUCGACUGAGCUGCUCAUCCAGAAGCUACCCUUCCAGAGGAUGAAUGGAAAGAGUGACUGUUCACAGACCUCAGUGAUGUGAGCACUGUGGCUCA